rnacentral:lncRNA from 1 species
GGCUGAUGAUGUCAGCCUCCUCCUCACAGGCCUGGCCAUCUUUAAGGAAGCUGAACUCUGCCUUCCCGGAGCUCCGUCACCCCCGCACCCUGCGUCCUGCACGGUCAGCGCUAUCCACCCUGUGCAUUCUCACAGUGGCCGACUUCCUGUGUCCUGGUGGCUGGGCGAGUAUCAUCUACUUCCUUGUUUGUUUUUCUGGGAUUUUAGAGUUCUCCACGGGCCUGGCUUUGCCUCUUCAGUAUCAAGAACAUCUGGGACAUGGUAUAUUAAUAAGCGCCUGUAGAAGCGGUGGAUGCUUAAGAGAACGAAGCUCUCUUUCCAAACAGUCUUUUCGGAAUUAGGACGCUCCUUGGGUUUCACUGACUGCCCUGCAUUUGUUGGCCUGUCUUCACCCUGUCUUAAGGUCUUGCUAUAGGAAGGAGAAGAAGGAACAGGCUUUCCUACUUAAUGUAGCUCCUGCCAUGUUGCCCUCAUUUGUCCCUCAGAGACAUUCAAGUUUAUAGAUGGUCAAUUGUGGCUAUCAAGUAGCAUGCAUGAUGGAAAUAUAAACUCAAGGUCUGCUUUGGCUAAGCACCAGGCUGGGGCUUACCCAGCUCCAUGGAGGAACCAGAUACAGUGCCUGGCUUGAGAGUUAAAAGUCUAUGCAGGAGCAGGGCAUGGUGUCUCAUGCCUUUAAUUCCAGCUCUUAGUGGUUGGGGCAGAGGCAGGUGGAUCUCAGUGAGUUCAAGGCUAGCCAAGGCUACACAGAUAGUGAAUUCCAGGGCAGUCAGAGAUACAUAAUGAAACCCUGUCUCAAAAUAACAACAAUGAAAGUAAUAAUAAUAAAAUAAAAUUUAAAAUGUUUAUGAGGACUGCUGGGUGUGGGGUGGUACAUGCCUUUAAUCCUAGCACUCAGAAAGCCGAGGCAGGAGGCUCUCUGGGAGUUCAAGGACAACAAGGCUCCAUAGUGAGACCUGUUUUCAAAGUUUUAAAAGUGAGAAGGCUAUGAGGUAAUCCAGACUACAGACAUCAGAAGAGUGAAGCAGCAGCCCCUCUGCCUUGAGGAUGGAGCACUAAGCAUUCAUGAAAAUGCCAAGCUGGUAUUGGAAAGCUUUAAACUAAGACAAUCCUUGAACAUGUAUGUGCUUGUUAGCCCUCAGAACUUUCAUGGGGCUAAGUAUAAAUUCUGUGUCAUUUUCAAGACAGGGUUUCCCUCUGUGUAACAGAGUCCUGGCUGUCCUGGAACCAGCUCUUUUGCUCACAAAGAUCUGCCUGUCUCUGCCUCCUGAGUGCUGGAAUCAAAGGUGCACGCCACCAUGACCGGCUAAUUCUAUUCUUCUCAGAGAAGGAAACUAAAGUGAAGAGAGUGACACAGAUGGCAGGAUGUUCAGGGUGUCUCCUGGGAUCAGCAUCACUAAGGUCAGUCCCCUAACUAUCUGAUAUACAGUCUUCCUUCCAGAAGGUUCAGUAGGGAGGAAGCAGAUGCUGAGGCCCUGUGAAGGCUUGAGAAGCCUUUGAGGUGGCAAAGAGCAGCUUGACUUAAUGCAGUUAAGCUGUAAGUAUGGUUUUGGAGUUUUGGUUCUUUGAAAACUAGCCAUCCUGGAGGGUCUUGAAUACAAAUGUUCCAGGAAUAAGAGUGGGAAGCUGCAGAGUGUGGUAGGGAAUGGACUGGGAAGGAGAUGAGAUAAGAUCUGAGGCUCACUGGGGCUGGAGAGUAAGCAGCGAUGCUCUCAUUACAGAGGCCUGGCUUGAAGAUGGAGGCCAGUGGUCCUCAGCACAUGUUCAGAGGAUAGGACAUGAUCGGGCCAAGUCUACACCAAUGCGGGCCCCAGCUGGCAUUCACAGUAUAAUCCAGUAAUUGGGAGUCAUCCAAUACACUAGACAGUGGGGCAGUGCAUCACAGUCGGG